rnacentral:rRNA from 1 species
AUUGAACGCUGGCGGCAGGCCUAACACAUGCAAGUCGAGCGGAGCGGCGGACGGGUGAGUAAUGCCUAGGAAUCUGCCUGGUAGUGGGGGAUAACGACCGGGAACGGGCGCUAAUACCGCAUACUAUCAGAUGAGCCUAGGUCGGAUUAGCUAGUUGGUGGGGUAAAGGCCGACCAAGGCGACGAUCCGUAACUGGUUUGAGAGGAGUAUCAGUCAAACUGGAACUUAGACACGGUCCAGGCUCCUACGGUAGGCAGCAGUGGUGAAUUGUGGACAAUGGGCGAAAGCCUGAUCCAGCCAUGCCGCGUGUGUGAAGAAGGUCUUCGGAUUGUAAAGCACUUUUAGUUGGGAGGCGUUACCAACAGAAUAAGCACCGGCUAACUUCGUGCCAGCAGCCGCGGUAAUUC